rnacentral:rRNA from 1 species
AGAGUUUGAUCCUGGCUCAGGAUGAACGCUAGCUACAGGCUUAACACAUGCAAGUCGAGGGGAAACGAUAUUGGAAGCUUGCUUCCGAUAGGCGUCGACCGGCGCACGGGUGAGUAACGCGUAUCCAACCUGCCCAUCACUUGGGGAUAACCUUGCGAAAGUAAGACUAAUACCCAAUGAUAUCUCUAGAAGACAUCUGAAGGAGAUUAAAGAUUUAUCGGUGAUGGAUGGGGAUGCGUCUGAUUAGCUUGUUGGCGGGGUAACGGCCCACCAAGGCGACGAUCAGUAGGGGUUCUGAGAGGAAGGUCCCCCACAUUGGAACUGAGACACGGUCCAAACUCCUACGGGAGGCAGCAGUGAGGAAUAUUGGUCAAUGGGCGAGAGCCUGAACCAGCCAAGUAGCGUGCAGGAUGACGGCCCUAUGGGUUGUAAACUGCUUUUAUAAGGGAAUAAAGUGAGUCUCGUGAGACUUUUUGCAUGUACCUUAUGAAUAAGGACCGGCUAAUUCCGUGCCAGCAGCCGCGGUAAUACGGAAGGUCCGGGCGUUAUCCGGAUUUAUUGGGUUUAAAGGGAGCGUAGGCCGGAGAUUAAGCGUGUUGUGAAAUGUAGAUGCUCAACAUCUGCACUGCAGCGCGAACUGGUUUCCUUGAGUACGCACAAAGUGGGCGGAAUUCGUGGUGUAGCGGUGAAAUGCUUAGAUAUCACGAAGAACUCCGAUUGCGAAGGCAGCUCACUGGAGCGCAACUGACGCUGAAGCUCGAAAGUGCGGGUAUCGAACAGGAUUAGAUACCCUGGUAGUCCGCACGGUAAACGAUGGAUGCCCGCUGUUGGUCUGAAUAGGUCAGCGGCCAAGCGAAAGCAUUAAGCAUCCCACCUGGGGAGUACGCCGGCAACGGUGAAACUCAAAGGAAUUGACGGGGGCCCGCACAAGCGGAGGAACAUGUGGUUUAA